CGAACGGGUGAGUAACGCGUGAGGAACCUGCCUCAAAGAGGGGACAACAGUUGGAAACGACUGCUAAUACCGCAUAAGCCCACAGCUCGGCAUCGAGCAGAGGGAAAAGGAGCAAUCCGCUUUGAGAUGGCCUCGCGUCCGAUUAGGUAGUUGGUGGGGUAACGGCCUACCAAGCCGACGAUCAGUAGCCGACCUGAGAGGGUGACCGGCCACAUUGGGACUGAGACACGGCCCAA
rnacentral:rRNA from 1 species